UCUGUGUAAUAAGUUGUCUUCACCAUCAUAGUCUUUUCCUAGCUGUUUGCGGUUGUCUUUGUAACUCAUAUUUUACAUUAAAUACAAACCUUAGGGCUUCUUCUUUUUUUUUUUUUGGUAAACAGAGGUUGAAUAGCAUGUGAAACAGUUGAUACAUACCAAAUCAAUUACAAUCCCCAAUAGAUUUGAUGGAUUAUCAUCUGAAUAUCUUUCAUUUUUGCCUAUUUACAAAUGAGUUUGUUUAGCUAAUGUCAGGACGCGGGAUCACCAAUCUCACUAAUUGGAGUCUACAUAGAGAGAUGGUCUGAUGAUACGAAUUAUCUAUGUUUUGUUCUGGAUGCUAUGUUUAAUGGGCCACUAUAAGAAACUUUUACUGAAAUCUUCCCCAUGUGUAGAUGAAUCAUGAAUGUAGGGCAUUCAAAUGAAAAUUUUCAACCAUACAACACAAAAAUAAAAUGGUCCGAGAUCAUCCUUGAAGUUUGAUUAUUGGAUGCAUGUCAGUGCUGAUCUUGAGCAUGAAGGAAAGCAAACAGAAAAACAGGCCGGCUAUUGUACUUCCGCAUAGCCUUACAAAACCAAGGAAUGGGUGCGGCCAUUACUCGAGAUGAAAAAUGAAGCAAGUUGCUAGAUUGGGAGAAGCACUUCAACUUCAUCUUAGGGAUAGAUGGAGGCCUUCUGUAUCUUCACCAAGAUUUGAGGUAAUUCAUUGAGAACUCGGAGGUUUGUUGGCUAGUUUCGAAGCUUCGGAUUCAACUAUAGUAAUCAUUUCAGGCAGUUUAAUCCAAACUAAAAAUUUUGUUCUCUUUCAAUUGGAUUGGUUUGGAUUCGAUUGAAAAUUUCUUUUUGGCUUCAUGUCGGCUUGUUUGCAUGAUGCGAAUUACUUGCAAUUUUUUAUUUUUUAUUUUAGAUUUAGUAUGUUGGUUGAUUUAUGAAAUAUUUAGUAAGGGGUUAAAUAAAAGGCUAAAAAAUGCUAUAAAGCAUGUAAUAACCAUUAUAACUGAAACAGUCAAUGGAA